rnacentral:rRNA from 1 species
UCGCGGACGUUAUUUCUUACAGCUCUGAGCAAAAAUUCAUAAUGAAUCAAAACUUUCAACAACGGAUCUCUUGGUUCUGGCAUCGAUGAAGAACGCAGCGAAAUGCGAUUAGUAAUGUGAAUUGCAGAAUUCAGUGAAUCAUCGAAUCUUUGAACGCAC